UACAGCGUGUAUAGAAGAAAUAUAAGUGUGGACAUACAAAUAAAAGGCUAUCUUUACUAUAAAAAUGCCCAUGUGAAACAUGCCGUCACACUCACUUGCAAUUAAGUAUUAUUAUUCGAGACCACAAUAUUUGUGAAAGAUUUAUGAAAUCUGUGAAAUUUACAACCCUUGAAAAAAGGCUCCCUACGGUAAUGGACAAUGACAAGUACAUGUGUGUGUUUGUGUAUUAGUAGUAUUUCAAAGUGUUAGCAUGAUUUCAUUACUCCUGUAGUGAUCCCCAGGCAGAAAUAUUCAAUGCACAAAGCGCUUUAAAAAUUUUUGCAUAGCUAAUUAACUAUUCAUGAUGGGCAUUGUGUCAAUUUUAAUUAAUAAUAAUAAUGAUGUUAAUAAUGAAAGAUCUAUAAUUUAUGGUUCCAUCAUAGGUUCAACAAAUUUCAAGUCAGUCACAGCAAUAUGAUUCUUCUCAGUCUCCUGUUGUUAUCCUUAGCAGCAAAUCUGUUUAGAACUUCAUCAGAGACAACUGAGCAGAUAAGUCUCUUUCAGUAGAUGGGAUCAAACCAACCUUUGUUCUAUCAUUGUUGUACGAAGCCAUGUUUUGAUUUGUUUUAAGAGAAAAAGGAUCACUCACAUGAUGCAGAGCUUAUACCUAUGGUAAUUGGAAAUACAUUUUUAGGGGUGAUAACUUCAAAAAGAUGCUACUCAAACUUCUACCAGUUGUUGUUAUAGCAUGUUUGGCCAAAAAACACUUUUCAAAAAUCUUAUCCUUAUUGAGAUUGUAGUUAUAAAUAAUUAGGAGAAGCUUUUCAGGAUCUAAAAAGCUGGACAACUGAGGGUUUCAGUGCUGAUUAGAGCAUAGUAUAUCAAGAUUGGGACCUGAGAACUGUUUGUUCAGCUCAUUAAGUAUGCAGUCAAUUACUGGAAUUAGCUUCCAUUAUUAUGCCAUCUUGAAGUCAAUGUAGAGUAACUCUUGUAUGUCCAUAACCAUCAGUAAAGAUAAUGUCAACUCAGCGAUACUCUUUGAAAGCAAAACAUGGUGACAGAUAUGAAGUACCUAAUCUGAAGUUAAGGAAUGUAUGAUGACUAUGAUAAUCCUCUUGAAGUUCUGCUUUUGCUGCUCAGUGCUAAGAAAACUCGAAAAGAUACUGUAACUGAAGCUGUAACUGAGGCAGAAAUGGCAGCUACUCGUGCAAUUCAUGGUAACAGCAGUGCAACAUCAUCAAUGACUGAUCAUUCUAAUGUGUUUCCCUGUAUAAUUGUCGAUGUAAAGUUGAAACAAUUAAAAAUAAUUCAACAACUUUGUGGUGAUAUUAAUUUAACUGACAGUGAGUAUUUAGAGCAAAGGGAGAUCAUUUUGUCAUAUCUUUGAGAAGAUUUUAACAUAGGGUUUAUACUGUUAUGCAACUUCAUUGUGUUUCAUAUUAAUCAGUUACAUAUGUUCGUAAUUAGUUGUAGUUAUAGUGAUUAUUAUUAUUGUGUAUAUUAUUAUUAUUAAUAGUGUGUAUUUUUAUAAUCAAUAACUGUACUGCACAGUAGUAUUAGUUUUCAGUUUUUUUGUGAAAAUAGAGAAAAGAUUGUUUCAAAUUUUUUU